AUAAAUUUGCUCGGCACAGGUCUCUAGUGGGGUAUUGCAAAAAAAGAACAUUUUUCUAAGAGAAAAAUCGAAAUUUUUUCACAAAAGCAUUGACAAAUAUAAAAUUUUACUUUAAUUCUGUAAAAAAUUGUAAAAUAACAAAAUUGCUAACUACUUAAGAAAAUAUAAACGAAAUUACACACAAGAAGCUUUAGAAAACUUAUGCAAAAUUUCAGACAAGUGGUGAAACUAUAGAAACAGUGUGGUGUGGUAACUAAAAAAGACAAAAAAUUGCCAAUAGGUAUUAACAAAAAACCCAGCUGAAACAAAAUUGUAAAAUAUUUUUUUAUAGAAAACGCAAUAUACAUACUAUAGUACUUCAUUAACAGACAUUUGCAGACGGCUUAAGAAAACAAAGAAUAAAUACCCCCAGCAACGAAAAGCAAACAGUAGCCCUCUUACAGUAAUUUUCAAGCCGGCAUAGCGGGCCGCAACAUCCCUUAACCAAAUAGUUACUAUGGCUGAAGCAGUUGUUGAGGAAAGGCCAACAGUGCCAACUAGGUUUUAUUGUCAUAUGUGCGAUGAGGAAAUAAACAUUCCCAAUACUAAUACCGAUUACAUUUGCCCCAUUUGCUCAGGAGGCUUUGUGGAAGAAUUACCACCAGCGGCUGCAGCUUCUAAUAGUAGUGUAGGUGGCAGCAGCAGUACAAGUAAUGCAGGUUUUAUGGGCGGUGGAAAUGACGAGCAGCAACUGGAGACCUUACGUGGUCAAAUAGCCAAUUUAUUGGCUUCCCGCAAUGGUCCCAACCUGGAGAUAAAUAUUAAUCCUAGUUCGAUGCGCAACCAGCCGAGAGGCAUAGUAUCGCUGGGACCCUUACCAACAGGCGGUGGACGUGUCAGACCUCAAAGUCUAGAUCGCUUGGAUGAUGUCUUAUUAAACUUUUUGCAGUCGAUAUCUGUGGGUAGUGGCGCUGUAGCGGGUGAAAUAAAUCCUUUCGACAAUUCGCAACUUUUAUUUAUGGGCAAUCUGGGUGAUUAUGCCUGGGGACGUGAGGGUUUAGAUACGAUUGUUACCCAAUUGCUUAAUCAAAUGGAAACCUCUGGCCCCCCACCUUUGGCCAAGGAUAAGAUUGAUGAUAUACCUAAAGUAAAUAUAAGCGCCGAAGAAGUUGAACGUAAACUGCAAUGUUCCGUUUGCUGGGAAGAUUUUAAAAUAAACGAAAAGGUACGCAAACUACCAUGUUCUCAUUUGUAUCAUGAAGAUUGUAUAGUGCCAUGGUUGAAUUUACACGGCACUUGCCCAAUAUGCCGUAAAUCGCUCAAUGGCGAAGAAGACGACGAAAAUGAUGUUCACAUGGAUAUUGUUGAUGAGCAUCAGCGUCCGGCUACUGCUUCUGUAUGUCCCAUACAUCAACAACAACAACAGCAGCAGCAGUCACAACAAAAUCAGAAUAAUACUACAAGUAAUAAUUCGGAGCAACCUGGUACUAGCAAUUCAGUUGCUAAUACAUCAUCAGCAUCAUCAUCAUCGUCAUCAUCUAGUCAACGUCAGCAGCAACAACGCUCUGAAAAUAUUUUUGGUUUUGAAAAAAUGGAUAGUGUUGAUUUGGACUAAAUAGUUUUUGUUUGUCUCAUUUAUUUUUCUUCUGUUUCUAAACUAGCAUAUAUGAUGAGAAUUGGAAAUAUUAUGUUAUCUAUACAAGAUUUACAGGUUUUGAAGGGGAACAGUAGGAUUAAGCUGGGAACAAACAAAAGAGUAAUGAAAAUUUUAAACGACAAUCAGAAUCUGCCCAACCCAAAAAACUAUUCCCAAAACUAAUGCUCAGUUUUUGAAAACCGUUAAAAACUUCAAACCAAACAAAAUUAUUAACAUUCAUUUUUACACAGAUUAUGUUUUAUUAUUUUUUAACUGUCAACUAAUAUUAUCUAUACAUUUUUAAUGACUUUAUUAUUUUGUUGGUAUUUAAAUUAUUAAAAAAGUAAAUUCUAUUUUGUCACCUAAACUUUGGCUAUACAUAUAUUUAACGAUAUACAUAAUAAUAUAAAAUAUACUAAACUUAUAAAACAGAUAUUUUUUCAUUUAAUUUAUUUAUGUAAAAAAAAACAAUACUUUUAAAUGAAAAACAAAAUUGAAAGAAAAUUUAAAAUAUUUAUUAAAAUAUUUUAUGCGAAAUCUUAAAAUCUAUAAAUUUAUUAUAAAAAAUGAGUGUGUGUGUAUCGAACAUAAAGUUGAAAAAAAAGGUUGAAGGUCAAUUUGCAAACAGAUAAAUUACAGCAAACUUUCACCUAAAAACCACUGUUUUUAUGCAUAUUUUUUUUCUUUUAUUUUUUAACUUUAAAAACAUAAUUUUGUUUAUUGAAUGCCACCAACUUUUUUUUUAAUAUUUACUAUGAUAUUGUAAGCUAAAAAAGAAAACAAAACAAAAUUAUUUAUUUUUGUAUAAUCUUAUUUUAAUUAUUUAAAACACAUUUUUUUAAAUAUUUGUAACUCAAACUUUUGAAAUAUUGUUUAAAUUUUUGCCUAAAAAACACAUUAUACAUGAAUUAUACUAUACAUAUUAUUAAAAAAAUAAAAACGUUUAAAAUAUAUUUAAUAACAUUUAAUUAUAGCUUAGUUGAAGA
rnacentral:misc_RNA from 1 species